rnacentral:lncRNA from 1 species
GAGCGCAGUGGUUUGGAGGAGUCCGAGGUUGCUAUGGAGUCCCCGAAACUUUUGAAAACUGUCGGGGUUCCAGGCGAAGAGCAAGAGCGAAUGGAGGAUUUCUGGAGACAUGUGCUAAGCUUAAGGUGACAAGGGAAUUUCAAUGGAGCAGGGAGAAGGGUAAUUUUACUGCCUACCUUGGGAAACACGAGAGUUGAACAUGAUAACUAUACAUGAUGGAUGAAACCAGCGUUAGGUGCUAUAAAUUUGGAAGUGGAACUUGAUAUUCUGGAGUGAUGUGUGCUCUUUUUGAAAAGAAAACACGUCUGAGUCAUUUUAGAAAGGAUCAUUUCUGCCACCUCUCCAAAAUCCAGACAUAACUUCAAGAUAUUGUGAGUCCAGCUGCAGAUCACUGCAAUAAAGUGCGUAUCUCAGUGAGAAGCAGAAUCUCUUCUCCAGAUCCUGAAUCUGGGAUGGCCCCAUGACUUACUUUGAUCAAUAAUAUGUGGCAGAAGUGAUGCAUGUAACUUCUGAGGUCCAGGAGAAUACCAGAGAAUACAGAAUAUCACAUCAUGUGGCUUCCAUAUUUAAUCUUUUGGAACAGUCUUCUGAGACUUCCUAGGAUGAAAGAAAAUGUGAAGGAAAAGGCUGAACCAUCAGCCAGAACCAACUGACACACUUGAGAGUGAAGCCAGCGUGGGACUCCUAGCUCAACUCUGCGAGUGAACCUAGACAAAAUCGGACAUUUCACAAAAAUUUGAGAAAUAAAAAUUGUUAUUGUUUUAAUCCU